GAAUCUGCUUAUGGACUCAUUUCUAAUUUGUGACUAGUUGAUCUUCUAGUCCUCUUCACCUUGCUCUCAUUACUUGAAACACAUACCUGAACAAAGAGUUUGAGUGAAAUGAAGAGACACAAAUGUAGCCAGUUUAGAGUGAAGAUAGCAGAAUGAAUCCUAGUACUGAAUGAAUCAUUACCACCAUUUAUAAUGCAGACUAUAGCAGGAAUUUGAUAAUAGAUAGGUACUUGGAAAUUUUCCUCAUGAUUAGAUGAAAAAAUUUGUCAGUAUGCGCAUUGGUAGUUAGUCUUUCAAAUAUAAUUUAAAUGAACAUUCUUUGUAGAAUUCUCAAGGUAGCAACAGAAAGUUUCAAACUCUGGGAAGAUUGAAGAAAAAAGAAAAGCCAGAAGAGAAAAGAAGAUCCAUCUGCCCAUAUCUGUUGCUCAAAAUCAACUGGGUAUUUCUUUGUGAAACAGGGCAUCUAAAUGUACCAGCAAGUUGUGUGGUUAUAAUCACAUACUAUUAAUCAGGAGGCUCUUUCCAAAAAGGAUGCUUGAUAAUCAUUGCCAUAGGCCUACAGAAUUUGGAUCUAGUCAUCUCCUUUUCCCAGAGGGCCACCAGGAAUUUAUUAGGCACCUCUUGUCCAAUAGAGGAGGUAACCAAACAGUCUUGGCUGCUUCAGUGCAUGCAUGUGACAAAAAUUUAAGGCCCUUGACUCUUCAUGUUGACCUGCUAAGGAUACUAUCUGACUAAGUAGAAACUGAACACAGUAAUGGUCAAAUUGGAAAAAAAAUCAUCUCCUUAUUUCCCUGAAGCCAUCUGUCUCAAAGUUCAUUAGUCCAACCAAGACUCAAGGAAAAAGUGACUUACUCAUUGGUAUACAGUUUUUAAGUGCCGUAAGAAAUAUUUAAAUAAAAUUCUGUCGUAUUUGUUUUAUUUCUAUUUC
rnacentral:lncRNA from 1 species